rnacentral:rRNA from 1 species
UCUGCUGUGAAAGACCGGGGCUUAACUCCGGUUCUGCAGUGGAUACGGGCAUGCUAGAGGUAGGUAGGGGAGACUGGAAUUCCUGGUGUAGCGGUGAAAUGCGCAGAUAUCAGGAGGAACACCGGUGGCGAAGGCGGGUCUCUGGGCCUUACCUGACGCUGAGGAGCGAAAGCAUGGGGAGCGAACAGGAUUAGAUACCCUGGUAGUCCAUGCCGUAAACGUUGGGCGCUAGGUGUGGGGACUUUCCACGGUUUCCGCGCCGUAGCUAACGCAUUAAGCGCCCCGCCUGGGGAGUACGGCCGCAAGGCUAAAACUCAAAGGAAUUGACGGGGGCCCGCACAAGCGGCGGAGCAUGUUGCUUAAUUCGACGCAACGCGAAGAACCUUACCAAGGUUUGACAUCACCCGUGGACCUGCAGAGAUGUGGGGUCAUUUAGUUGGCGGGUGACAGGUGGUGCAUGGCUGUCGUCAGCUCGUGUCGUGAGAUGUUGGGUUAAGUCCCGCAACGAGCGCAACCCUUGUUCCAUGUUGCCAGCACGUAGUGGUGGGGACUCAUGGGAGACUGCCGGGGUCAACUCGGAGGAAGGUGGGGAUGACGUCAAGUCAUCAUGCCCCUUAUGUCUUGGGCUGCAAACAUGCUACAAUGGCCGGUACAAUGGGCGUGCGAUGCCGUGAGGUGGAGCGAAUCCCUAAAAGCCGGUCUCAGUUCGGAUUGGGGUCUGCAACUCGACCCCAUGAAGGUGGAGUCGCUAGUAAUCGCGGAUCAGCAACGCCGCGGUGAAUACGUUCCCGGGCCUUGUACACACCGCCCGUCACGUCAUGAAAGUCGGCAACACCCGAAACUUGUGGCCUAACCCCUUUUUGGGGAGGGAGUGAGUGAAGGUGGGGCUGGCGAU